rnacentral:lncRNA from 1 species
CCCCCUUUAGAGGGCGCUUUUUUUACAAAAGCGCCCUCUAAGGUCCCCUUUAGUAAACAUUAAAAUUAUAACAUAUACUGCAUGUCUCUUUAUUUUCCCUCUCUAUAAGCUAUUUCGUUUACGUAACUGGGUUUUCUCUCUACUGCGAUUACUCUCUACUGCGAUUACUCUCGUCCUCCGUUCGUUCUCCCUCCCUCACCGUCGUCGUCGCCGUCGCCUUUUUCUGCUGCUGCGUUCACGUUCACGUCCACCGUCACUGUUCACUUUCUUCUCCAUCGUUACCGUCACCUUGAAGGUAUUUCUCUUCUCCAUCGUUACCGUUCACUUUCUUCAUGUGUUUGAUUAGGGCAUUUUCUAAACUUAGUUUUACAUUUUG